rnacentral:rRNA from 1 species
UCUUUUUGAUUAUUAUAUAAGGUCUGGCCUGCCCAAUGAGGAAUUGAAUGGCUGCGGUAUUUUAACCGUGCUAAGGUAGCAUAAUCAUUUGUCUUUUAAUUGAGGGCUUGUAUGAAAGGUUGGAUGAAUCAAUAACUUUCUUUAAUUUAAUUUAUGAAUUUAAUUUUUUAGUCAAAAAGCUAAAAUAUUUUUAUUGGACGAGAAGACCCUAUAGAUCUUUACAGGUUAUUAAAUUUGAUAAUUUAGGGAAUUACUUAUUUUUAUUUAAAAUCUUGUUUGAUUGGGGUGAUUGUAGAAUUUUAUAAACUUCUAUUGUUUGAUUUUCAAUAAUUAUUGUUUAAUUGAUCCAUAAUAUGAUGAUUAAAAGAUUAAG